CCCCUGCAUCUUCUUCUUAUUUUUUUUUUAUUCGGUUUCUAGUGAAGUUGGCAAGGGAUGCCGGCUUCAAGGUGAACUGGGUCCAAAGGGAUCGGUUCUCACAUUCUUCCUCCCUUAAAAAAAAUUCAUCUUUGAAAUUUGAGAAAUCUUGACCUUUCUAAGUCAAAGGUGCUCAACCCCAAAAAUUACAUGCACCAAAUUAU
rnacentral:lncRNA from 1 species